rnacentral:misc_RNA from 1 species
CCAAUAGCGUAUAUUAAAGUUGUUGUGGUUAAAAAGCUCGUAGUUGAACCUUGGGCCUGGCUGGCCGGUCCGCCUCACCGCGUGUACUGGUCCGGCCGGGCCUUUCCCUCUGUGGAACCUCAUGCCCUUCACUGGGUGUGACGUGGAAGCAGGACUUUUACUGUGAAAAAAUUAGAGUUCUCCAAGCAGGCCUAUGCUCGAAUACAUUAGCAUGGAAUAAUAAAAUAGGACGUGCGGUUCUAUUUUGUUGGUUUCUAGGACCGCCGUAAUGAUUAAUAGGGACAGUCGGGGGCAUCAGUAUUCAAUUGUCAGAGGUGAAAUUCUUGGAUUUAUUGAAGACUAACUACUGCGAAAGCAUUUGCCAAGGAUGUUUUCAUUAAUCAGGAACGAAAGUUAGGGGAUCGAAGACGAUCAGAUACCGUCGUAGUCUUAACCAUAAACUAUGCCGACUAGGGAUCGGACGAUGUUCAUAUGACUUCGCGGGCAGCCUUCG